GGAGAACAGAAGGAGAGAAGAUAACAGAGGCAGAAGAGAAGUGAAGAGAUGUCAUCCACCGAAACACAGCACCAAACAUACUGGUGCCACGAAUGCGACAUGAGCAUCCACCUCCUCUCCACCACCGCUGAUCCCCUCGUUUGCCCUCACUGCCUCCGUGACCAUCUUGAAGUGAUGGAUGACCCCACCCCCACUCCCACCACAACCACCGACACUAACACUUCCUUCCUCGACAGCCCCUCCUUCCGCCUCUUCUUUCUCCCACUUUUCAACUACAUCAACCCUUCCGAUGAUGGUAUAAAUGCCACACUUUCCCUCUCCAUAGACUCCAUCCUUCCCACCAUCAAAAUCACAUCUUCCCUUCUGGAGGGAAUGGAUGACGACCCAGUACUUCUCUGCGCGGUAUGCAAGCACCAGUUUGUCAUCGACAUCGACGCAAAGCUCCUCCCCUGCAAUCACUUGUUUCAUCCUGACUGCAUUCUUCCUUGGCUUAAUUCCAACCACAACUCGUGUCCUCUCUGUCGCUUCCAGCUUCCUACACCAGCAAAGAACGAUAGAACGGUGGUUCCUACGAGUGAUUCUUCUUCUCGUUUGUCAUCCACGUUGCACAUGAUGCAAGUAGAAGAACCUGGACGUUUGAUGAACUGCACAGGCAGCUUUAAUAAUGUUGGGAUGGAAAUGGGAUACUCUCAUCAGGAUGCUGAUGAUUGUUCUUUCCCUGAUGUUGGGCUUUUAUCCAACUAUUUUCCUUUACACUUUUAGGUGAUUUAAAGUGUUAUUUGAGGUUUUUGAGGGCUCACAUCUUAAAGCGGUUUAAUUAAGUGUAAAUUAGAGAUGAGUGAUCUUGAUACUGCAAAUAACGUUUGAUGGUUUGAAUUUUGAAGGGCUUGCUGGGAGCCGGGAUUUUGUGAUCAUAAGUCGGUUUAAUGAAGUGUAAAUCAGCAACAAGACGAUCAUUCAAAUGCAAAAUAACAUUUUAUGUUUGUGUAUUCUCCCAUCCGCCCUCCCUCUCUUCUUCUCCCGAACAAUAUUGUGUAAGCUAAUAUGUACUUUUGGGACUGGAUUUUGACCAAA
rnacentral:misc_RNA from 1 species